GGGGGCGACUGGUUUCGACGGGGCAAGCCGAAACCGAGUGGCGCGCCGAGGAUGAUUGUGUUCCUCGUAAAACACCAAUCAAAAACCAAAUGCGAACAAUGACUUCGCUCUCGCGGCCUAGUUAAUGGCCCGACGCUGAACCGCCGAUGUCUGCUGAGCGGGGAGGCGACGACUAGCAGAUCCUGCUGCAGGGUUUGGUGACUGGACGCUGCAGCUUGUACAAUCAGGCACUGGCCAUUGGGUAAGCCUGUCCGUCGGCAUUCCCGGUGGCGAGAUUGAAGGACGGAACACGCGCGUAGAUAUUCGGCUGGAGCUGUUUCGGACGGGGGUUCGACUCCCCCCGCCUCCACCA
rnacentral:tmRNA from 1 species